rnacentral:rRNA from 1 species
UACGGGGGGAGCAAGCGUUGUUCGGAUUUACUGGGCGUAAAGGGCGCGUAGGCGGCCAGCGCAAGUCAGUUGUGAAAUCUCCGGGCUUAACUCGGAACGGUCAACUGAUACUGCGCGGCUAGAGUGCAGAAAGGGCAACUGGAAUUCUCGGUGUAGCGGUGAAAUGCGUAGAUAUCGAGAGGAACACCUGCGGCGAAGGCGGGUUGCUGGGCUGACACUGACGCUGAUGCGCGAAAGCCAGGGGAGCGAACGGG